AAAUGCCGGAGGCGGAAAAUUUUGAGAGAAGUCUGUAGUGCGUUCAGAGACCAGAGGACAUUGUUCCAUAUGUAGCUGUAGAUGUGUUCCUGGAAGGAGGUAGGUUCAGGAUUUUCCUACAUCGCCAUCUCGGACCUGAACCCAUGUCUGCUCCUUAAUCUGCUUCUUAACAUUCCCUGGAUAUGGUGACACAGGAUCAGUUCUCCCCAGUUCAUCAGUCAAAUGGUCAUUCUACUUCUUAUUUAAUAGAAAGGGUUUCAGAUAGGUAAUACCAUGAAUACAGUUAUAUUACCUUCCAAGAGUGCUGAGAAAUGUUCAACUGUCUACUGGAGCAAGAAUGAAGACUUGAAAAAUUAUAAAGAGAUGCAGAAAGCCACGGCAAGAAAAGUCAAAUGACCUUGAUUCUACUGUUGGUGCUGAGUGGAAAGCCCACACUCCAGAAGCUCAUUAAAAGGGCCAAGUUACAGUACAGGUUUAUUUCUGUCACAGCGUUUCUGAAAACAGUGACAAGGAUUAAUAUGUUUCUUUAGUACUGGAAAAAGCCUGACACAAUCCCUUGUGAAUUUGAUCAUCUGUUUCAUUGCCUGUAUAAGAUUCAAUCUCUUAUUAUAUCCUGAAGUUACAGCUGUAAACUAAUGCUGGUAAGAAUUCAUAAGCUAUUGCAGAAGCCUGGGGCAAAACGAAUUGUUUUCUUCAACAGUCGCUUAUUUAUUUAUUAUUUAUUUCAUACCUCUCUCGAUCAUCUUUUUCCACUGUUCCUCCUCAAAGUCAAGAUUAUCUUGGCUCUUUGUCUGAAUGCACAGAGCAAAUAUAGAGACAUGGGGAAUUCAUGCUUCCAAGAGCUUUCAAAAAGUUGUUACAGAUCAGUGUAUUGUGGAAAUGUCCACUCUAAAAUUUUUAUAAAACUAUUCUUACUUCCCUUUCCUUGAAAUG